rnacentral:rRNA from 1 species
GUAGGGUGCGAGCGUUAAUCGGGAAUUACUGGGGCGUAAAGCGUGCGCAGGCGGUUAUGUAAGACAGAUGUGAAAUCCCCCGGGGCUCAACCUGGGAACUGCAUUUGUGACUGCAUGGCUAGAGUACGGUAGAGGGGGAUGGAAUUCCGCGUGUAGCAGUGAAAUGCGUAGAUAUGCGGAGGAACACCGAUGGCGAAGGCAAUCCCCUGGACCUGUACUGACGCUCAUGCACGAAAGCGUGGGGAGCAAACAGGAUUAGAUACCCUGGUAGUCCACGCCCUAAACGAUGUCAACUGGUUGUUGGGAAUUAGUUUUCUCAGUAACGAAGCUAACGCGUGAAGUUGACCGCCUGGGGAGUACGGCCGCAAGGUUG